AUUGAACGCUGGCGGCAUGCCUUACACAUGCAAGUCGAACGGCAGCACGGGAGCAAUCCUGGUGGCGAGUGGCGAACGGGUGAGUAAUAUAUCGGAACGUGCCCAGUAGUGGGGGAUAACUGCUCGAAAGAGCAGCUAAUACCGCAUACGACCUGAGGGCGACAGGGGGGGAUCGCAAGACCUCUCGCUAUUGGAGCCGCCGAUAUCAGAUUAGCUAGUUGGUGGGGUAAAGGCCUACCAAGGCAACGAUCUGUAGUUGGUCUGAGAGGACGACCAGCCACACUGGAACUGAGACACGGUCCAGACACCUACGGGUGGCAGCAGUCGAGAAUCUUUCACAAUGGGGGCAACCCUGGUGGAGCGACGCCGCGUGGAGGAUAAGGUCUUCGGAUUGUAAACUCCUGUCAUGCGAGAACAAGGUACUCAGGCUAAUAACCUGAUUGUUUGAUGGUACCGCAAGAGGAAGAGACGGCUAACUCUGUGCCAGCCGCCGCCGUAAAAC
rnacentral:rRNA from 1 species